CUACGGGCGGCAGCAGUGGGGAAUAUUGGACAAUGGGCGAAAGCCUGAUCCAGCCAUGCCGCGUGUGUGAAGAAGGCCUUCGGGUUGUAAAGCACUUUCAGUGGGGAAGAAAGCCUUGGGGCUAAUACCCUCGAGGAAGGACAUCACCCACAGAAGAAGCACCGGCUAACUCCGUGCCAGCAGCCGCGGUAAUACGGAGGGUGCGAGCGUUAAUCGGAAUUACUGGGCGUAAAGCGCGCGUAGGCGGUCUGAUAAGCCGGUUGUGAAAGCCCCGGGCUCAACCUGGGAACGGCAUCCGGAACUGUCAGGCUAGAGUGCAGGAGAGGAAGGUAGAAUUCCCGGUGUAGCAGUGAAAUGCGUAGAGAUCGGGAGGAAUACCAGUGGCGAAGGCGGCCUUCUGGACUGACACUGACGCUGAGGUGCGAAAGCGUGGGUAGCAAACAGGAUUAGAUACCCGAGUAGUC
rnacentral:rRNA from 1 species